rnacentral:rRNA from 1 species
GAUGAACGCUGGCGGCGUGCCUAACACAUGCAAGUCGAGCGAAGCGCUUAAAUUAGAUUUCUUCGGAAUGACGAUUUUUGUGACUGAGCGGCGGACGGGUGAGUAACGCGUGGGUAACCUGCCUCAUACAGGGGGAUAACAGUUAGAAAUGACUGCUAAUACCGCAUAAGACCCCAGCUUCGCAUGAAGCGGUGGUAAAAACUCCGGUGGUAUGAGAUGGACCCGCGUCUGAUUAGCUAGUUGGUAAGGUAACGGCUUACCAAGGCGACGAUCAGUAGCCGACAUGAGAGGGUGACCGGCCACAUUGGGACUGAGACACGGCCCAGACUCCUACGGGAGGCAGCAGUGGGGAAUAUUGCACAAUGGGGGAAAACCUGAUGCAGCGACGCCGCGUGAAGGAUGAAGUAUUUCGGUAUGUAAACUUCUAUCAGCAGGGAAGAAAGUGACGGUACCUGACUAAGAAGCCCCGGCUAACUACGUG